rnacentral:misc_RNA from 1 species
GAAUUGCGAAAAGUAAUGUGAAUUGCAGAUACCGUGAAUCAUCAAAUCUUUGAACGCACAUUGCACUGUCUGGAACUCCGGACAGUAUACCUGUUUGAGCAUCAGUAACUACUCUCCUACACCCUACUGUCUACGGUAGCUGUAUGGAGGACUUGAGUAACCAUGUCGCUCGCGGCAUGCUACUUCAAAUCUAGUGGCUAGGAAGUCCCGGACUUUACUACUAGCUGACAGAGUCAAUGGACCUCGUGUCUAUUACUGUCUGGCUGCGGUAGAGUAACCGACGAUGCAACCAAGCAUUACUGUAACCUACAGAGGCCCUCACAGGCUUCUGUGACAAUGAUCUCAAAUCAGGUAGGAUUACCCGCUGAACUUAA